rnacentral:rRNA from 1 species
GAUCCUGGCUCAGGAUGAACGCUAGCGGCAGGCUUAAUACAUGCAAGUCGAGGGGCAGCAGGGUAGCAAUAUCGCUGGCGACCGGCGCACGGGGUGCGUAACACGUAUACAAUCUGCCUUUAACAGGGGGAUAGCCCGGAGAAAUCCGGAUUAAUACCCCAUAAUAGUAGAACUGGCAUCAGUUUUAUUUGAAAGCUCCGGCGGUUAAAGAUGAGUAUGCGUCUGAUUAGCUAGUUGGUGAGGUAACGGCUCACCAAGGCGACGAUCAGUAGGGGAUCUGAGAGGAUUAACCCCCACACGGAUACUGAGACACGGAUCCGACUCCUACGGGAGGCAGCAGUAAGGAAUAUUGGACAAUGCCCGCAAGGGUGAUCCAGCCAUGCCGCGUGCAGGAAGACGGCCCUAUGGGUUGUAAACUGCUUUUACACCGGAGAAAACCUCCCCUCGUGAGGGGAGCUGAUAGUAUGGUGAGAAUAAGCAUCGGCUAACUUCGUG